AAAGGUUUUGCCACAUAAGGUGCAAGUUAUUUCAAAAUUGGGUUGUGUAAAUACGUCUUUUUUAUUAAUCGACAUUGAAUUUAACAAAAUAAUCUGUCAUAAGCAUAGUUUUGAAAGAUGAAAAAGUCUAAGAUAGGAGAUGGACAGAGAUUAGCUUAAUAAGAUAGAAGAUGGCAAGUUGGCAGCUAAAUCGGGCUCUCCAAGACGCAGCUUAUGCCGGAGAUUUAGAAAAGGUCAGGAAUUAUCUUGUCAAAGGUGCAGAUAUUAACGAUGUA